rnacentral:sRNA from 1 species
UCUCCAGCUACUACAGAGCCAAUGAAGUGCAGCAGUUCAGAUACUCCCGGCCGUUCCGGAAAGGAGAAAAGGAUCCAGACAAUGAAUUUGCUACGAUGUGGAUUGAACGGACCACGUAUACGACUGCAUAUACCUUUCCUGGGAUUCUCAAGUGGUUUGAAGUCAAACAGAUUUCAACAGAAGAGAUCAGUCCUCUGGAGAAUGCCAUCGAAACCAUGGAGCUGACCAACGAGAGGAUCAGCAACUGUGUUCAGCAGCAUGCCUGGGACCGGUCCCUCUCUGUGCACCCUCUCUCCAUGCUGCUCAGUGGCAUCGUGGACCCGGCCGUCAUGGGGGGCUUCUCCAACUAUGAAAAGGUUCGCUUGGUCCCAGAAUCCCCUAGGGAUUCACAGACCUGGGUGUCUGUGUGCCUCCCUCUGUGCCAUUUGCCACUGACAAAUUCAUUUCCUACAGCUGCUC